CCGCUACAGGUAAUGUAAAUACUAGUCUGCCUCCUUCUGUCCGUGGUACUUGCUGCCCCUACAGAUACAAAACGAUUUAUCUUCGGGAAUUUUCAGGUUGAUAGUCUCUUUGAUCUUGACACGCUGAAAUGUGACGUGCAGGUUUUACUUGACGUAGUGGGAAGCAAUUCAACUGAAAAGGCGUGUGAGAAUGAAUGUGGCGUCUUGCUUAAAAGUGAUACAAAUGUCCUCAAUUACGGUUGCCCACUAGUUUGCCAUGGGCUGCAGAAUCUGGCACAUUAUUUCCACGAGGUGCCCAAACCAGGAGAUCAGCAUAUGAUUUGUGGCGGACUUGGAAUAACUACAACUAGCGGAUCUAUAUAAACCCCAGUGUUUAACUGUCACCAACAAUUACUAAAUAAAUGUUUUCCCAA